CCCCUGGGAACUGACCGAGGACGGGGAGUGGACCCCGCGGCUCACGAUAAGGAUCCUAGGCACCCUGCAGCAAGGUCUUGGGGUGGCCGACUGCAGCCCUGCAGAAGGGAAGCCCUUCUCCACUUGUUCACAGAUAGCUCCUGGGACAGCAUUGAUGGAUGCCUGGAAACAGCUACCGAAAAGGGCCCCUCCUUUGCUCCCUGACAAAGAAGUAACUUUGGGAUCUUCCUUCUACAACUGGAGAGAAGGAUACAGAAAAAUGACAAGGCAGGACUCUCCCUUGGCUCCAGAAGCUUCUGUCUAUCCAUCCUGCUCGUCUCUCUGUCAACAGCUGCUGGGAGAAGGACAGAGACUAUGGCACUCAGAGCCACCAAAUGGAGGGAGAAAAGGCUGGGUCGUCUGGCCUUUGGGAACCUGGAAUAGAAUCUAGCUUUGGCCUCUCUAUGACCUCAACCUUGACCUAAGACAACAGGUGUAUCUCAACACGGCCUCCCACCCCUCCUGCCAGCUGGACAUUCCAGUUCACUUCUAUACACACACACACUCUCUCUCUCUCUCUCACACACACACACACACACACACACACACACACCUGUGCAUGCUCACGCACCAUAUCUCCCAUAGCGAAAUUCAGCCCACGAACAACAUGGACCCUUAAUAAACAGUGCCCAGAUAGAACCAUGGGGAACGGAUGCAUAUCCAAGACCCAGCACAGCAAAGCACACCUGGCUCCAUGUUGCCCACACUUCUGCUCAGAUUCCUCAGAGUCUGGGAUUCUAGACUGACCUCACCAUUUAGGGGCCGGGUGGAAUCCUGUGUGUGUGUAUAUGUUUCCAACUAUGUCUUAAAUUCUCUUGAAUUUCUUUGGUCUGGGGAGGACAGCAGAAAUAGGGUAGAGGAAGAGAAGAGAGUGAGAGCUCCAAGCUCUGGCCAGAGUGUGUGUGUGAUCAUAGGAUUAUGAACGAGAGACUGCACGUGUGAGUGUGUAAGUGUGAAUGGCAAGAAUGUGUGUGGAUGUGUGUGUUUGAUCCAAGACCUAUUUUCCUCAUCAGUAGGAUGCUCUGGGUAACAAGGCAACACCCUGUGCAAAUCCUGGGUGGCCUAAAUCUUGGGCUGACUGCUUGACUGACUGACUGACUGGCGUGGGUCCUUGCUGGAAACCAGGUCAGCCUUCAGUAGGUGCCUUCCUUCCCCGCUCCUUUCUCAUGGAACGAACCACUGCCCCCGGAAAAUAACCUGCCUGCCCAGGUGAUGCAGACCCAGGACAGAAACGCUGGGAAUGCCCCAGACCCAGGCAGCAAGCCCUGUGCCUGGGAGAGACUCAUUCCCGGCCCUACUAGAUCCUUUUUCUGUUCUCUGAAAGACCAGCCAGCUUUCCCUAACCUACCAAAAGCUUUGAUGUCUUGGGGAGAAUUUCAGGAGAAUUAAGUAGGAGGGUUAAAGUCCGAAUUAAUGUUUUCUCUGGGGGUGAUAGAAAAAGGGAGGGUGAGGUAUGAUCCAAGGCUGGGUUCCAUGGAUGUGUUUUGCCUCAGAUUCUAUCUUUACCUCACUACUCCUUUUUCCAAGGAAAGGAAAUAAUAAAUAUGUAUUAAGUACCAACUGUAUGCCAGGUACUGGGCUAAGUGUGUUACACACAUUAUUUCAUUGA